AAUAGAUACCCGGUAGUCCACGCCGUAAACGAUGAGUGCUAAGUGUUGGGGGUUUCCGCCCCUCAGUGCUGCAGCUAACGCAUUAAGCACUCCGCCUGGGGAGUACGGUCGCAAGACUGAAACUCAAAGGAAUUGACGGGGGCCCGCACAAGCGGUGGAGCAUGUGGUUUAAUUCGAAGCAACGCGAAGAACCUUACCAGGUCUUGACAUCCCGGCGACCACUAUGGAGACAUAGUUUCCCCUUCGGGGGCAACGGUGACAGGUGGUGCAUGGUUGUCGUCAGCUCGUGUCGUGAGAUGUUGGGUUAAGUCCCGCAACGAGCGCAACCCUUAUUCUUAGUUGCCAUCAUUCAGUUGGGCACUCUAAGGAGACUGCCGGUGAUAAACCGGAGGAAGGUGGGGAUGACGUCAAAUCAUCAUGCCCCUUAUGACCUGGGCUACACACGUGCUACAAUGGACGGUACAAACGGUUGCCAACCCGCGAGGGGGAGCUAAUCCGAUAAAACCGUUCUCAGUUCGGAUUGUAGGCUGCAACUCGCCUACA
rnacentral:rRNA from 1 species